UAGAGUUUGAUCCUGGCUCAGAACGAACGCUGGCGGCAGGCUUAACACAUGCAAGUCGAGCGCCCCGCAAGGGGAGCGGCAGACGGGUGAGUAACGCGUGGGAAUCUACCUUUUGCUACGGAAUAACUCAGGGAAACUUGUGCUAAUACCGUACGUGCCCUUCGGGGGAAAGAUUUAUCGGCAAAGGAUGAGCCCGCGUUGGAUUAGCUAGUUGGUGGGGUAAAGGCCCACCAAGGCGACGAUCCAUAGCUGGUCUGAGAGGAUGAUCAGCCACACUGGGACUGAGACACGGCCCAGACUCCUACGGGAGGCAGCAGUGGGGAAUAUUGGACAAUGGGCGCAAGCCUGAUCCAGCCAUGCCGCGUGAGUGAUGAAGGCCCUAGGGUUGUAAAGCUCUUUCACCGGUGAAGAUAAUGACGGUAACCGGAGAAGAAGCCCCGGCUAACUUCGUGCCAGCAGCCGCGGU
rnacentral:rRNA from 1 species